UAAGGAAUAUUGCUCAAUGGGAGAAAUCCUGAAGCAGCAACGCCGCGUGGAGGAUGAAGGGUCUAUGACUUGUAAACUCCUGUAAAGAAGGAAAAAAUUCCCAUUUGAUGGGAGAUGAUGGUACUUCUGGAGUAAGCCCCGGCUAACUACGUGCCAGCAGCCGCGGUAAUACGUAGGGGGAAAGCGUUGUCCGGAUUUACUGGGUGUAAAGGGUGCUCAGGCGGAUUUGUAAGUCAGAGGUGAAAUCUUACAGCUUAACUGUGAAACUGCCUUUGAUACUGCAAGCCUAGAGUAUGGAAGAGAGUGAUGGAAUAUCUGGUGUAGCAGUGAAAUGCGUAGAUAUCAGAUAGAACACCAAUGGCGAAGGCAGUCACUUGGUCCAUUACUGACGCUAAAGCACGAAAGCGUGGGUAGCAAAC
rnacentral:rRNA from 1 species